CGGGGAUUAGGUCAUCGGUAGACCGCUCGGAUGGGGUCCGAGAAGUAGAGAGUUCAAUUCUCUCAUCCCCGACCA
rnacentral:tRNA from 6 species